AUGCAUCCAUGUAUACUAAAAUAUGAUCGAUUCAGAGAAGAUCAGCAUGGCCCCUGUGCAAGGAUGACAUGCAACUCAUGAAGCAUUCCAUGUCUUU
rnacentral:snRNA from 1 species